GCUUGAGUCCUGGACAUGCGGAUUUCUAGAGUCAGGCAGGGGAGGCAUCCGGCCUCUGGAAGGCUGGGCUUCAGGUAGUGAAGGCGGUGUGUCACUGCGGUGGUAUCUGGGAGGCGUGCCGAGCCUCUCCGUGUGCGCGUCCCCUCCAGAAAUCUCCACAUCCCCCUGCUUCUCUCUCCACCAGAGCCGCCUCUCCUCUGCCGACUGCCUGCCUGCCUGCCUGCCUGCCUGCCUGCCUGCCUGCCUGCCUGCCUGUGCCAAGAAGCCUACCCGAAUCGAGGGAAGAGAGAAUGCCCGGGAGCGCCUUAACUUCACGCCGGGCGCAAGGGCGGAAGGGGGCCGAUUGGUUGACAGCCGGCUGCCUUGCCUUAAGAAGCAGGGCGUCUGAUGUCAAGCCGCCUCUCCCUCUGCCGACUGCCUGCCUGCCUGCCUGCCUGCCUGCCUGCCUGUGCCAAGAAGCCUACCCGAAUCGAGGGAAGAGAGAACGGUGCCCGGGAGCGCCUUAACUUCACGCCGGGCGCAAGGGCGGAAGGGGGCCGAUUGGUUGACAGCCGGCUGCCUUGCCUUAAGGAGCAGGGCGUCUGAUGUCAGUGAGUGGGGCGGUUUCGUUGGGGCGAGAGGCCUGGCCGACCUUGCGAGGGUCUUCCCCACGCCCUGGUGCAUUUCAACGUGCGGCGAGGGUGA
rnacentral:lncRNA from 1 species